rnacentral:lncRNA from 1 species
GCGAUAAAAGGAAGGGUGCUGGAGCUGCCUGUUCUACAAAUGGGGUGAAAAAAAGGAUUUACCUGGACUUCCACCUGCACCUGUUUUGUGUUGCUGCCUUGAGCACCAUGCUGAGAAAUACGGGAUGGAUUCUUGAUGACUUCUACUGGUGCCAGAGUGGGCCUCAAUCUACUAGAGUAAAACCUCCAUGAAGAUAUGGAUUCUGCUGAUCCUGAUGACCUCUGUGUCCUCAGAUUCUACUUUAAUUCCAGGUGCAAAGUAAGUGUUCAAUCAAUAUUUGUUCAGUGAGGAAAAUAAAAUAUUAUAUCCAAAGUUAUGAUUGGAGACAGAAAGUAGAAUAGAGAGUCCCAGGGGCUGGGGAAAGGGGGUAGUGGAGAGUUAUUGUUUCAUGAAACAGGGUUUCAGUCUGAGUUGGUGAAGAGGUUCUGGAGAUGGAUAGUAGCAAUGGGUGCCCAAUGGUAUGAAUGUAGUUGAUGCC